AGUCGGGUCAAGGGCACUGCCCUGGACUCGCAGCACUUGUGUCCCCCACAGGGCGGCUUCCAGGGUCAGCGGGGCUGGCUUGUGGCACCGGAUGUACUAUGGAGGACGACAAACAUGGCUGUCAGCCUGAGGAUGGGGACAGAGCACCACUGUCACCUGACUGCUCCUAGGGACUGGGGAGGGACCCCAAAUGGAACGGAACGUGCAUUCGCUGUGACAAGUGAACCCUGGGCAAACCACAGCCUGGUCCUGACACCUGGCCACCCCAUGGGUGUCAAGAGCUGUGCCCCACAGGCUUUUCAUUGGAUGUGUUUUUGGAAGCAAGUGACCGGACCUUUUUUUUUGAGGCCCCCCCCUGGGUGGGCUUGAACCUCCAACCUGUGGUGAGCAGUCACGGGUACCACUCGGCCUCUGAAGUGAGCAAACACACAUGUACUUAACUGGGAGGAAAGGGAGAUGCUCGUGGCACUCCUCGGGCCCUGUCCCCAGGGAGGGCAGGCACUGUGUCCAAGAUGUCUCUCAGGCUGGGCCCCCGCUGGCCUGAGGUCACACAGUGCCCAGCCUGCCUGUAGCCCAGGCCCACUGAGCAUUCGGUGCCCGCCCCCAUGCCCAAGGGCUUUGCCGUCACCUCCUUGGCCUCCUCCAGAGUGUGGUAGUGGAACGAAUCCUGGUCCAGGGAAGCCAGGAGCGAGGCGUGCAAGUGGCGGUUGGCUUCCAGGAAGUGCUGCGUCAGGGCCAGCUGUUGCCUCAGCAGGUCGUUCAGCACCAGCAUGGCAGGGCUGUGGGCUGUCAGGGCUGCACAACCCCCCAUGUCACUCGGGCCCCGGGCCCCUGCCGCACCCACCGCUCCUCCUGGCCACCCGUCCUGCAGUGCCUACACGUGCUCUGGACCCCACCCUCUUGUACCCAUCCUCUCUGGAGAAAGGUGGCUCCCCAAGAGCUGACAUGGCACCCAGCUGCUGCUGGCCAGAGUCGGCAGCACUGACCUGACUCCAGCAUCUUACAGAACUCCAAGGGGCCAAGGGAAACGGCGCCCUGGGAUUUUCCCAUGCUGCCAGACCUUUCUUCCGAGGUACCUCUGCAUUUACCUUUGUUUACCCUUUAAGCCACCCAAACCCAAAUAGCCACACCCACUGCCAGUGAGGCAGCCCAACUAGGGAAGAACUGCCCCAAGGGGGUUCUCACAGCUGUAAGCCACCUCUGUGGACUCCUGGGGGCCCUCGCCCUCUGACCGUAGUGCUGAAUUGCUGCCCCACCAGUCCCACUUUAACCCCCGGGGGCUCUUUCAUAGAGAUGGGACUUUGUACAUGGACAGAGACAUGUACUAAGAAGCCUGGCAGACUGGGUUUCUGGGGUGGAGGGAGACCUUCACCCUUGUGAAUUGGAGACGAGUCCCAAUCACAUUCUCAUGAUGCAUAUUGUUCCUCACUCUAUCCUCCCAGAAUAGCGCUGCCUUAAAGUUACCCCUUACAAGCACACGGCUGACUUGCUGUGUAGCCGGCAGCUUUAUAGGAGCACACGCGUGCUACUGCUCUCCAGGCUCUGAAGACAGUCACUCCCCCUUACCUGCCCGGGCACUGGUGUUAGGUUAACUCCUCCAAUGAACUCAGGAACCUUCAGGGUUAGGGUGGGGCUUGCACGCUCCCUGAAUGUAUACAAGCCUUGGCUGGAAAUAUAUUCUCUUUCUGUGCGGA